rnacentral:rRNA from 1 species
ACAGGGAUUGCCUCAGUAACGGCGAGUGAAGCGGCAUCAGCUCAAAUUUGAAAUCUGGCCUCUGGCCCGAGUUGUAAUUUGCAGAGGAUGUUUCUGGCGAGGUGCCUUCCGAGUUCCCUGGAACGGGACGCCAUAGAGGGUGAGAGCCCCGUACGGUUGGUCGCUAAGCCUCUGUGAAACUCCUUCGACGAGUCGAGUAGUUUGGGAAUGCUGCUCUAAAUGGGAGGUAUACGUCUUCUAAAGCUAAAUACCGGCUAGAGACCGAUAGCGCACAAGUAGAGUGAUCGAAAGAUGAAAAGCACUUUGAAAAGAGGGUUAAAUAGUACGUGAAAUUGUUGAAAGGGAAGCGCUUAUGACCAGACUUGGACCGGUUGAUCAUCCAUCGUUCUCGGUGGUGCACUCUGCCGGUUCAGGCCAGCAUCAGUUUGGCUUGGGGGAUAAAGGCUUCGGGAAUGUGGCUCCCUACGGGGAGUGUUAUAGCCCGCUGCGUAAUACCCUGGGCUGGACUGAGGUUCGCGCUCCGCAAGGAUGCUGGCGUAAUGGUCAUCAGUGACCCGUCUUGAAACACGGACCAAGGAGUCGUCUUCGUAUGCGAGUGUUCGGGUGUCAAACCCCUACGCGUAAUGAAAGUGAACGUAGGAGAGAGCUUCGGCGCAUCUCCGACCGAUCCUGAUGUUCUCGGAUGGAUUUGAGUAAGAGCAUACGGGGCCGGACCCGAAAGAAGGUGAACUAUGCCUGUAUAGGGUGAAGCCAGAGGAAACUCUGGUGGAGGCUCGCAGCGGUUCUGACGUGCAAAUCGAUCGUCAAAUAUGGGCAUGGG